rnacentral:rRNA from 1 species
GACGAACGCUGGCGGCGUGCUUAACACAUGCAAGUCGAGCGAGGCCCUUCCUUCGGGAAGGUGCCCUAGCGGCGAACGGGUGAGUAACACGUGGGCAACCUGCCCCUAGCACUGGGAUAACCCCGGGAAACCGGGGCUAAUACCGGAUACGACUACGGAAGGCAUCUUCUGUGGUGGAAAAGGUUACUGGCUAGGGAUGGGCCCGCGGCCUAUCAGCUUGUUGGUGGGGUAACGGCCCACCAAGGCGACGACGGGUAGCCGGCCUGAGAGGGGGACCGGCCACACUGGGACUGAGACACGGCCCAGACUCCUACGGGAGGCAGCAGUGGGGAAUAUUGCACAAUGGGCGAAAGCCUGAUGCAGCGACGCCGCGUGAGGGAUGACGGCCUUCGGGUUGUAAACCUCUUUCAGCUCCGACGAAGCGAAAGUGACGGUAGGAGCAGAAGAAGCACCGGCCAACUACGUGCCAGCAGCCGCCGUAACAC